GAUGAACGCUGGCGGCGUGCCUAAUACAUGCAAGUCGAGCGAACGGACGAGAAGCUUGCUUCUCUGAUGUUAGCGGCGGACGGGUGAGUAGCACGUGGAUAACCUACCUAUAAGACUGGGAUAACUUCGGGAAACCGUAGCUAAUACCGGAUAAUAUUUUGAACCGCAUGGUUCAAAGGUGAAAGACGGUCUUGCUGUCACUUAUAGAUGGAUCCGCGCUGCAUUAGCUAGUUGGUAAGGUAACGGCUUACCAAGGCAACGAUGCAUAGCCGACCUGAGAGGGUGAUCGGCCACACUGGAACUGAGACACGGUCCAGACUCCUACGGGAGGCAGCAGUAGGGAAUCUUCCGCAAUGGGCGAAAGCCUGACGGAGCAACGCCGCGUGAGUGAUGAAGGUCUUCGGAUCGUAAAACUCUGUUAUUAGGGAAGAACAUAUGUGUAAGUAACUGUGCACAUCUUGACGGUACCUAAUCAGAAAGCCACGGCUAACUACGUG
rnacentral:rRNA from 1 species